AUGAACAACGUGCCCUGAAGACUGGGAUAGCCAGGGGAAACCCUGGGUAAUACCGGAUGUGGCCGACUUUCGGCAUCACGAGACCAUUAAAUGGUUUUUCGCUUCAGGAGCGAUUCAUGGCCUAUCAGGUAGUUGGUGAGGUAACAGCCCACCAAGGCUACGACGGGUAGGGGGUCUGAGAGGAUGAUCCCCCCGAGUGGGACUGAGACACGGCC
rnacentral:rRNA from 1 species